rnacentral:rRNA from 1 species
CCUACGGGCGGCAGCAGUGAGGAAUAUUGGGCAAUGGACGAGAGUCUGAACCAGCCAAGUAGCGUGAAGGAUGACUGCCCUAUGGGUUGUAAACUUCUUUUAUAUGGGAAUAAAAUGUUCCACGUGUGGGAUUUUGUAUGUACCAUAUGAAUAAGGAUCGGCUAACUCCGUGCCAGCAGCCGCGGUAAUACGGAGGAUCCGAGCGUUAUCCGGAUUUAUUGGGUUUAAAGGGAGCGUAGGUGGAUUGUUAAGUCAGUUGUGAAAGUUUGCGGCUCAACCGUAAAAUUGCAGUUGAAACUGGCAGUCUUGAGUACAGUAGAGGUGGGCGGAAUUCGUGGUGUAGCGGUGAAAUGCUUAGAUAUCACGAAGAACUCCGAUUGCGAAGGCAGCUCACUGGACUGCAACUGACACUGAGGCUCGAAAGUGUGGGGAUCAAACAGGAUUAGAUACCCCAGUAGUC